UACGUAGGGGGCAAGCGUUAUCCGGAAUUAUUGGGCGUAAAGAGUGCGUAGGUGGUUUUGUAAGCGCGGGGUGAAAGGCAAUAGCUCAACUAUUGUAAGCCUUGCGAACUGUAAGACUUGAGUGCAGGAGAGGAAAGUGGAAUUCCUAGUGUAGCGGUGAAAUGCGUAGAUAUUAGGAGGAACACCAGUGGCGAAGGCGACUUUCUGGACUGUAACUGACACUGAGGCACGAAAGCGUGGGGAGCAAACAGGAUUAGAUACCCUGGUAGUCCACGCCGUAAACGAUGAGCACUAGGUGUCGGGGCCGCAAGGUUUCGGUGCCGCAGUUAACGCAUUAAGCACCCCGCCUGGGGAGUACGUACGCAAGUAUGAA
rnacentral:rRNA from 1 species